rnacentral:lncRNA from 1 species
CCCGCAGUGUUGGGGUGCCCGCAGGGUUUUGGGUGCCCGCAGUGUUUUGAGUACCCGCAGGGUUUUGGGGUGCCAGCAGGGUUUUGGGGUGCAGCAGUGUUUUGGGGUGCCCGCAGGGUUUUGGGCUGCCAGCAGAGUUUUGGGGUGCCAGCAGAGUUUUGGGGUGCCCGCAGGGUUUUGGGGUGCCCGCUGCUGAGGCUGCCGUGCAGGAUCCCGGCAGGAUGCCGCUGCUCCCCGUCGUGGCGCUCUGGGCUCUGUGCUCCCUCCUCGGCCGGGCAGACCAUCCUCCUGUCCCCGUCACGGUGACAGCGGCCAUCGGCGAGGACGCCUGCCUGCCCUGCGGCAGCCAGCCCUGGGGUGCCCUGCGCGGGGUCACCCUCAGCUGCACCCACCAGGCCGGCGACCACCGCGCUGUCCCCGUGCUCAGCCACCGCCUGGGCUGGCAGCCGCCCCCCGAGCCGGGCUGGCAGCCCCCCGAGCAGCCCGACAGCCGCUUUAGGGGCAGGGUCGCCUUCUGCGCGGCGGGGACGGGGGAGGCCGGCGUGUCCCUGCUGCUGAGGAACCUCAGCGAUCCCGAUUUUGGGAAUUAUUCCUGCUACGCCUCCCGCGCCGAGGCCCCGCAGCUCCUCCUCUGCUCCCUGGUGCUGCAGCCCGCAGGGGAGGGUGAGUGGGGCGGGGGGUGACACUGUCGUUUUUGGGGUCCCUCUCAUUCCCUGCUGGGUCCAGUCCUGUCCUCAUCUGGGUGGUGCCAGAAUUUGGGGUGUCCCCACUUGGGUGGUGCCAGAAUUUGGGGUGUCCUCAGUUCCCUGAUGUGUCCAGCCCUGUCCUCAUCUGGGUAGUGACGGAAUUUGGGGUGUCCCCAGUUCCCUGAUGUGUCCAUCCCUGUUCCCGUCUGGGUAGUGCUGGAAUUUGGGGUGUCCCCAGUUCCCUGCCGUGCCUGUCACUUCCUGUGUCCCCUGGUCCACCCCUGUCCUCAUAUGGAUGGUGACAGAAUUUGGGGGUCCCCCCAAUUCCCUGAUGCAUCUGUCACCUCCUCCGGUUCUGUCCCCAUCUGGGUGGCGCCAGAAUUUUGGGGUGUCCGCAAUUCCCUGCCCUGCCUGUCCGUCUGUCCCUGCCGUGCCUGUCCGUCUGUCCCUGCCGUGUUUGUCCCUCUGUCCCUGCCGUAUCUGUCCCUUGUCCUUGCCGUGUCCGUCUGUCCCUGACGUGCCUGUCCGUCUGUCCCUGCCAUGUCUGUCCGUCUGUCCCUGCCGUGUCCGUCUGUCCCUGCUGUGCCUGUCCGUCUGUCCCUGACAUGUCCCUCUGUCCCUGCCGUGUUUGUCCCUUGUCCCUGCCGUGUCCGUCCCUUGUCCCUGCCGUGUCUAUCCGUCUGUCCCUGCCCUGCCUGUCCCUCUGUUCCUGCCCUGUAUGUCCGUCUGUUCCUGUCUGUCCGUCUAUCCCUGUCGUGUCCCUCUGUCCCUGCCGUGUCCGUCUGUCCCUGCCGUGUC